rnacentral:rRNA from 1 species
GACGAACGCUGGCGGUGCGCCUAAUGCAUGCAAGUCGAACGGGCGAAGGGGCUUCGGCCCCCUAACUAGUGGCAGACGGCUGAGUAACACGUAAGUGAUCUGCCCCGGAGAGGGGGAUAAGCCGGAGAAAUCCGGUCUAAUACCCCGUACGCUCCCUUUACUACGGUAUAGGGAGGAAAGGUUCCGGUGCUCUGGGAGGAGCUUGCGGCCUAUCAGGUAGUUGGUGGGGUAACAGCCUACCAAGCCGAAAGACGGGUAACCGGUGUGAGAGCACGAUCGGUCAGAGGGGGACUGAGACACGGCCCCCACUCCUACGGGAGGCAGCAGCAGGGAAUCUUGCGCAAUGGGCGAAAGCCUGACGCAGCGACACCGCGUGGGGGAUGAAGGCUUUCGAGUUGUAAACCCCUUUUCCCGGGGAUGAGAAAGGACAGUGCCCGGGGAAUAAGGUUCGGCUAACUACGUGCCAGCAGCCGCGGUAAUACGUAGGAACCGAGCGUUGUCCGGAUUUACUGGGCGUAAAGUGCGCGUAGGCGGUCCGUUAAGUCUCAUGUGAAAUCUCCCGGCUCAACUGGGAGGGGUCAUGGGAUACUGGCAGACUGGAGUGCAGUAGAGGAAAGCGGAAUUCCCGGAGUAGUGGUGGAAUGCGUAGAUACCGGGAGGAACACCAGAGGCGAAGGCGGCUUUCUGGGCUGUAACUGACGCUGAGGCGCGAAAGCGUGGGUAGCAAACCGGAUUAGAUACCCGGGUAGUCCACGCCCUAAACGAUGGAUACUAGGCAUGGGGGGUAUCGACCCCCUCCGUGCCGCAGCUAACGCAAUAAGUAUCCCGCCUGAGGAGUACGGCCGCAAGGCUAAAACUCAAAGGAAUUGACGGGGACCCGCACAAGCAGCGGAUCGUGUGGUUUAAUUCGAUGAUAAGCGAAGAACCUUACCAGGGCUUGAAAUGCUUCUGACCGGCUGUGUAAAGCAGCCUUUCAUUCGGGACAGUUGCACAGAUGUUGCUAUGGCUGUCGUCAGCUCGUGUCGUGAGAUGCUGGGUUAAGUCCCGCAUACGAGCGCAACCCCUUGUCGCUAGUUAGGUAUGUCUAUGUCGAGACUGCCCCCACUGGGGUGUAGGAAGGUGGGGUUC